CUCGCGUAAUGGGAGAAUUCUGCAAUUAAUAUUGCUCGGGGUAAUGCUAAUGCAUGUAUUUGGCUUCUUUUUGGUGUUUGUUGUGCCGUCUGUGCUUGCUGCAAUGAACUUGAUGUGGUUUGGGAAGAUACUCAGAGGAUUGAAGAAGAAGUUAGCAAAGAGACAAUGACUCAGUAAUGGAAUUGCAUGGUAUUUUCUUAGAAUCUUUUUUCUUCGGUGUAAAAAUGGUGGGUUGGAAAUGUGAAGGCAAAGGGAUCUUUUUUCUUCGUGAAGAUAAUUGUAUCGCCAUUUUUUAUUUAGUUUUUUAAGUGUAAUAUUACAAGUUAUUGAAGAAAAUAUGUGUUUUAUG